AGAUUAAGGUGGGCCGAGUUAUAUGUGGCGGUCUUCCGAGCGUAUAUCACAACCAAAACAAAUAAACAAUGUGAAAAGUGACGAUGGACACCAAAGAGAUUUUAAUCGGAAUUGUCUCGGUUAUUGCUUCACUUUUUUUCGUCGUAUUAUUUGUCUUAAUAGGAUGGUUUAUUGUAUGGAAGCUGUUCCUUUCAAGAUUCAAAUUCAUUAGAGAGUUAUUAGGAAAACAACAGGAUGCUAGUUCUUCCUCUGAAGAGUCAAAGCAAUCACGCACACGUCCAGCACGCAAAGUGCGGCGUGAAUAGCACCCAUAUAUCCCCGACUUGGUUGAGUUUGUGGAUCCUGUUUUUAGAUCUGAUUUUUUACUAACUUGACUGUGAGAAUGAUGGAUAUAUGCCACUGGAAAUGUUGUGAUGAUAAACACAUACUCUUUUAUCUAAAAUAAUUUUUUUCUUAAUAAAGUAUUUUUUGAUU